GGCCGCAGUGUUAUUCCUCUUCAUCCCGUGCAUCAUUGGCGUCUUAUUGUGUUCCCGGAGCUCAGUCAAGAAACACACACACACACACUCACCCUGUCCUUCAUCCUCCAGCUCUGAGCGAGUGCUUUGGAGCCCUCAAUCUUCUCCAGGUGUCGUUUCUUCAUGAAAGCGAGAGGAAGAUUCCAGUCGCUCAUGUCGGCCUCGUCUUCCUCAGAAAGCGCCACGGCAGGCGAGUGAAGCAGCUCCACGUCCAUUUUCAUCAGG